UUUAAAUUUUGAAAUCAAAGCAAAACUCUUAAGUAAUUAAUAUACACAUCUAAUGUUAGCUAUUCUAUAUCAUUUACAUUAUUUAAACAAUACUUCUUCAUUAUUAGAAGACACUAUUGCAAUGUCUCUAUGUUUUUUUUUUCCAUUUCACUAUUAAAGCUGGUGUUGGUCAAUAGGGACUAAAGUAAUGAGUGUUUAAGAAUUCAGGCUUUGUAAAUGUCCAACAACUGAUGAAUGGAUAAAGAUGUGGUAUAUAUAUAUAAUGGAAUACUACUUGGCAAUGAGAAAGAAUGAAAUCAUGACAUUUGCAGCAACAUGGAUGGAACUGGAGGGUAUUAUGCUAAGUGAAAUAAGUCAGUCAGAGAAAGACAGAUAUCAUAUGCUUUCACUUAUAUGUGCAUCUUGAGAAACUUAACAGAAGACCAUGGGGGAAGGGAAGGGGAAAAAAAUAGUUACAGAGAGGGAGGGAGGCAAACCAUAAGAGACUCUUAAAGAGAACAAACUGAGGGUUGAUGGGGGCUGAGGGAGAGGGGAAAAUGGGUGAUGGGCAUUGAGAAGGGCACUUGUUGGGAUGAGCACUGGGUGUUGUAUGUAAGCCAAUUUGACAAUAAAUUAUAUUUAAAAAAAGAAUUCAAGCUUUGGAUAGUGUCAAAAUAUUAGCACCAUUGGAGGUAAUAAUAAGUAGGUAAUUGUGAAUUUACUCACUUACUGAAAUAUUCUUCAUACAUAUAUUGAAGCUAUUCUCUCCUCAGCACUUAGAACCCUAUGUACCCAAUGUGGGUAAAAGGGAAAACUGGGCAGUGCUGCUGGGAAGCCUUGUUUAUUAUGGGGUUACCAUCUCAGCAAGAGUUAGGCUUCCUGACCUGGAUUUCAACAUCAUCAUUAAUUAAGGUGCCUCAGGACACAGAACAAGCAAAGGAAAAACUGCAGCCAGGAGAACAUGGUUUACAGAUAGAGCACAUUUGCACAAAGAGCUGUCACGUUAGAAAAAGAGGCAACAACCUGUCUGGCUUGUGUACCUACUUGGACAUCCCCAUGGUUGACACACUAUGACACAAUUGUCCAAAUCAAGAAAAAGAAGAAUUUGGUCUUUAAGCAUAAAGACUGUCAACUUUUUUUUAGAAAAGUAAGCUUCAUAACAGUAUCUGUUUCUGAGGUCACUAUUACUGGUUGAGAUUAAAUCAUUUGUUUUAUGAACUAAAUGUCUUGCAUGUUUAUUUCAGCUGCCUGUGUAACUGACCCUAUGGAAGAAGUUUAUUAAUUACACCACAUAAGCCAUAAGUCAGAACUUUAAAGCUGUGCUUUGCAUAAGCAGCAUAAACAGGAGCAAUGACUUUGUACGAUUUUUAGCAAUAGCAUCAACAUUUAAUCAAAAUUAUCACCCAGUUUUGCUUUUAACUGUGAGGCUAUGUAUAUGUUCACUACCUGGUACCAAAUUCUUUCCUGGAUCUUUGGAAGAGAUAAUGGAGUUGAGCAUGAGCAGGAUAAACCCUACUGGAUAACGACACCUAGAAGAAAACUCCACAAAUGUGACCAGUUAAUCAUAGCUCUUUGACAUAUUUCCCCUUGAUGGUGACCAGUCCCCUUGGG
ensembl:lncRNA